UGAAAUCGAGUAAGGACUCACAUUUUGCAUGAUAUAGGCAAUUUGUUAAUCUGGCCACAAAGGCCCAAGUUGUCACCUGCAGGAGAGUCACUGUCAACCUCCUCUGAGGAAUAUGGUUCAAACUCCACCAGUAGCACAGACUCCAAGCCUACCCCACAGUAUAUCACAAUAACCCUGCUACAAAAGGAUCUGUAUGUGUAUCUAGGUGUUUGUGUGUCAGUCUGUAUGUGUGUGUGUCUAUGUAUUUACCUGUGUGUCUAUGUAUCUAUCUGUGUGUCUG